UGUGAGAUAUCUGUAUCUUCAAGGAACAGCAUUCUGUGAGAUGCAUGAUGGCUCAAGAGUUGCCCAUGAAGGAAGGGUGCAAGGAAAACUAACUGAAGAAGAAGGCAAAGGAGAAUCAUGCAACCCAACCCUCCUGGCUUCACUCAGAAUCAGAUUCUGCAGCACAAAGACUCAGAAAGAAGAAACAGAGAAGGAAUCCACCCAUAAAUAUAUCCCACUUUCAGCUUUAUAGCUUCCCUUUUCAAGCAUCUUCUCCCCCUGCCACAAGCCAUUUCUGCUUGAUGUCACACACACACCAGGCAAGUUCCAUUGCAGCACUUCAUUGUCAUUGCAGAUCAUGUCGCCUGACAACUCUCUGGCUUUGCUCAGUUCAUCUGCAUGACUAUGAGAAUGAACAUCGACUGCGAUGGCUGCUACCGAAAGAUCAGGAGAGCUCUUCUGCAAAUGCAAGAGUUGGAGAGCCAUUUGAUCGAGAGGAAGCAGUGCAGGGUCAGCGUGUGCGGGUCGUUCGUCCCCCAGGAUAUGGCGAUCAAGAUCAGGAGGAAGACGAAUCGACGGGUGGAGAUCUUGGAGAUCAAGGAAGUGGAGGUAGGACAUGAUGGCGGCACAGAUCCCAAACCCCCCUCAUGAAUUAUAGCCGAUCCCAAACCCUCAUAUAAUGCGUACCAGACACAUGGUAAGGUGUAAUAUUUCCUUGAAAGAAGGAUCAUUUGCUAUCA